AACUAACGCUGGCGGCGUGCCUAACACAUGCAAGUCGUACGAGAAAGUCGGCUUCGGCCGAUAAGUAAAGUGGCGCACGGGUGAGUAACGCGUGAGUAACCUGCCGCAUACACAUGGAUAACAUACCGAAAGGUAUGCUAAUACAAGAUGAUAUAAGAGAUUCGCAUGGAUUUCUUAUCAAAGCUCCGGCGGUAUGAGAUGGACCCGCGUCUGAUUAGCUAGUUGGUAAGGUAACGGCUUACCAAGGCGACGAUCAGUAGCCGACCUGAGAGGGUGAUCGGCCACAUUGGAACUGAGACACGGUCCAAACUCCUACGGGAGGCAGCAGUGGGGAAUAUUGCACAAUGGGCGAAAGCCUGAUGCAGCAACGCCGCGUGAGCGAUGAAGGCCUUCGGGUCGUAAAGCUCUGUCCUCAAGGAAGAUAAUGACGGUACUUGAGGAGGAAGCCCCGGCUAACUACGUGCCAGCCGCCGCAGUAAUAC
rnacentral:rRNA from 1 species